rnacentral:rRNA from 1 species
UACAGAGGUCUCGAGCGUUGUUCGGAUUCAUUGGGCGUAAAGGGCGCGUAGGCGGCUUUCUAAGUCAGGGGUGAAAUCCGGCAGCUCAACUGUCGCAGUGCCUUUGAUACUGGAGAGCUCGAGGGAGGUAGGGGUCUGUGGAACUUCCGGUGGAGCGGUGAAAUGCGUUGAUAUCGGAAGGAACGCCGGUGGCGAAAGCGACGGACUGGAUCUCUUCUGACGCUGAGGCGCGAAAGCCAGGGGAGCAAACGGG